GAUGAACGCUGGCGGCGUGCCUAACACAUGCAAGUCGAACGGAGUCAUUUUGGAAAGUCCUUCGGGACUGGAAUUCUUGACUUAGUGGCGGACGGGUGAGUAACGCGUGAGCAAUCUGCCCUUAGGUGGGGGAUAACAGUUGGAAACGACUGCUAAUACCGCAUAAUGCAACGGAAUGGCAUCUUUCUGUUGCCAAAGAUUUAUUGCCUUUGGAUGAGCUCGCGUCUGAUUAGAUAGUUGGCGGGGUAACGGCCCACCAAGUCGACGAUCAGUAGCCGGACUGAGAGGUUGAACGGCCACAUUGGGACUGAGACACGGCCCAGACUCCUACGGGAGGCAGCAGUGGGGAAUAUUGCGCAAUGGGGGCAACCCUGACGCAGCAACGCCGCGUGAUUGAAGAA
rnacentral:rRNA from 1 species